GACGAACGCUGGCGGCGUGCUUAACACAUGCAAGUCGAACGGAAAGGCCCUGCUUUUGUGGGGUGCUCGAGUGGCGAACGGGUGAGUAACACGUGAGUAACCUGCCCUUGACUUUGGGAUAACUUCAGGAAACUGUGGCUAAUACCGGAUAGGAGCUCCUGCUGCAUGGUGGGGGUUGGAAAGUUUCGGCGGUUGGGGAUGGACUCGCGGCUUAUCAGCUUGUUGGUGGGGUAGUGGCUUACCAAGUCUUUGACGGGUCGGCGGCCGGAGAGGGUGACCGGCCACAUUGGGACUGAGCUGCGGCGCGGACUCCUACGGGAGGCAGCAGUGGGGAAUAUUGCACAAUGGGCGGAAGCCUGAUGCAGCAACGCCGCGUGCGGGAUGACGACCUUCGGGUUGUAAACCGCUUUCGCCUGUGACGAAGCGUGAGUGACGGUAAUGGGUAAAGAAGCACCGGCUAACUACGUG
rnacentral:rRNA from 1 species